CCUACGGGAGGCAGCAGUGAGGAAUAUUGGUCAAUGGGCGCGAGCCUGAACCAGCCAAGUAGCGUGCAGGAUGACGGCCCUAUGGGUUGUAAACUGCUUUUAUGCGGGGAUAAAGUCACCCACGUGUGGGUGUUUGCAGGUACCGCAUGAAUAAGGACCGGCUAAUUCCGUGCCAGCAGCCGCGGUAAU
rnacentral:rRNA from 1 species